AUGUCGCAGCACGGUGCCUGUGUCCUCCUGCUGCUGGGACACAGUGAACUGGCUCAGGUCCCGCCCGCUCCAAGUACACCCACCCACCCUCCCUCUAUCUCGGACCACCAGCCCCCCGCCCAGCCUACUGCCAGUCAGCCCAGCAGAGCCUCUGGCCACGUCUCAAAACACCGCCUGGUAUACAGACUGUGGAAGUACCGAGCGGCAGCUGGCGGAGGACAGAGGGGAGGAGAGGGAGGGACCGACCGACGGGCAGCUCGACCGAAAACAAAGCUAAAGAAAGAGGCAACACACAGCUCCACAGAGGACAAAAAAGAGAAAGAUCCACAUCAAG
rnacentral:lncRNA from 15 species